rnacentral:rRNA from 1 species
GUAUAGAGGGUGAAUUCUGCCCAAUGGUUGUAUAGUGAAACUGAGGAUUAACGUCUAAAGCGAAACCCAACUGAAUGGCCGCGGUAACUCUGACCGUGAUAAUGUAGCACAAUAAAUAGCCAAUUAAUUGUUGGCGGGUAUGAAUGGAACCACGAGGGUCUUACUGUCUCAAGAGAAAAGCCGAUGAAAUUAUAGUUGUAGUGAAGAUACUACAUAAUCAUUGUAAGACGAAAAGACCCUAUCGAGCUUUACUGGAUACCAAUAGCGUUGACUUAAAAUGAUCGAUACUAGUAUCCUAAUUUUGAGUUAAUAAUUUUGUUGGUAGGACAGUUUAGUUGGGGCGACUACCUUUGAAUAAGAAACGAAGGCGAGCUUAUUGGUGUGCAAAGCUAAUCUCAUUAGCCUGACAGUGAGGGGGACACCCCUAGCUGGCACAAGGACUAUGUCCUAUGUGGGCGAUAAUGACCCGAUAUGAUUGUCCAAAAUAAAUAUCGAAAGCGGAUAAAAGCUACCGUAGGGAUAACAGCGUAAUAUUGUCGGAGAGUUCUUAUCGAGGACAGUGUUUGCGACCUCGAUGUUGAAUUGCGGUGCCCUGGUGCUGUAGAAGGUACCUUAGGUUGGUC